rnacentral:pre_miRNA from 1 species
UUAACUCAAAUCUGAAUGGAGUUGGACCGUUUAGCUACGUUUGUCGCUUGGGGCGCUGUUCGAACUGCAUUCAAAUUUGAUAUC